GGUGAAGGAAGGCAUAUGCGCGCAUCGGACGUUUCACCCGACCGAUGCACACAUCCUUGAGUGCCUAC
rnacentral:rRNA from 1 species